rnacentral:lncRNA from 1 species
UAUCAUCUAUCUGUAUCUAUGUAUCUAUUGCCUAUCUCUACCUGUCAUCUAUCUAUCUAUCUAUCUAUCUAUCUAUCUAUCUAUCUAUCUAUCUAUCAUCCAUCUAUCUGUCCAUCAUCUAUCGAUCUAUCGAUCUAUACGUAUAUAUAUCUCAUCUAUUUAUCUAUCAUCUAUCUAUCUAUCUAUCUAUCUAUCUAUCUAUCUAUCUAUCUAUCUAUCUAUCAUCUAUCUAUCUAUCUAUCAUCUAUCUAUCUAUCUAUCUAUCUAUCUAUCUAUCUAUCAUGUGUCCAUCUAUCUGUCCAUCAUCUAAUGGACUUACCUAUACAUCUUCCCAGUACACCAGCUAUAAAUUUAUGGUGGGUAGACAUGUUUGUGGGACACUUAUCAGUCCUGCAACUACCUACUUAACCCACAUAACAAAAAGAAACAGGCAGGCAGCAGAUUAGGACAGGCCUGGUGGGCUCCAGGAGGGAGAGCAAUGCCCCUCAGCUAACAGCAAGGCAUUCCCCCAAUUGCAAUCUCAUUAAACUCCACACAGGCUGGGGAUGCAUUCAGCCACUGCUUUUAGUUUUAUUUUCAGGAAAAGGACAGUAGAGAUCCAGUGAGAUUUGCCGUUUUUCAAGGUCACACACGGACAGCAUGGUAAAGAGGUAGAACGCUGGCCGUCUCCAUUCUCCACACACUGCACUGCCUGAGAGGUGAUUUCUGUCAGAGUGGAGGACGCUGGGCAGCUGACCCCUGUCAGAGAGCCUCACUCUCUUGGGAAAUUUUACAGGGCCUUUCCAAUUCCUCCACACCACAGUUAAGCAUCUAAAUGAUUCCAUUACAGCUUUUAAUACCCUCCGUCUCCCACCAAAUCAAGGCAGGAAAAAUAUGUAAAGUCUCUAGGGGAAACAGCCAACCAUUUCCUUUCUUAUUUCUCUAUGAAUGAAGCGGUUGCUGGGCUUUGGUUUCUUUCUUUCUUUCUUUCUUUCUUUCUUUCUUUCUUUCUUUCUUUCUUUCUUUCUUUUUUUUUCCCAAACUUUAAAUUAAAAUGCUGACCUGUGGAGUCUUGAGCUCAAAGUUCCUCAAUAAGUAGAGAGGGACCCAUUAGAAGUAGCUUAAGUCAGAGCCACCUACAUCCACAUGCUCUGUGUCUGAAGAGUUCGAGAAAGAAGGCUGGUCUCAGGUCAAAAUGUUUUGACCACAUACCACAGGGAGGGGGGAAUUCUAAUUUAAAACAGUCCUUAGGUUGAGAAGAUGCUUGGCUGGUAAACAUUUGUCACAUAAGCAUGAAGACCUAAAUUUGGUGCACAGCACCCAUGUAGAAAAGAAAAAAAAAAGUUGGAUGUGGUUGGACACGCUGGUAUUCUCAGGGAGCACAGAGAUAGGAGCGUCUCUGGGGCUCAGAGCCAGCCAUCCUAGCCAAAUCUGCAAGCUCCAUGUACAAGUGAGAGACCCUGUCUCAAAAACAAGGUGGAGAGAAACCAAGGAAGACAUCUAUGGUUGACCUCUGGCCUCCACGUGCAUACACAUGCAUGCACAUGCACACACAUGCACAUGUGCCCUAUACUCUUGCACACCUUGUAUGCACACACGUAUCUGUACACACAUAUGAACACAUCCACACGGAGAGACAAGCUUGCCAAUAACUUGUUUUGUUUAGUAAGAGCCUCCACGUCAGGUUUGUACUAAUUAUGACAUCUUGUGGCAGUGAUUCGGAAGUGGGGGAAUUCCACCGCCCCCAGUCAACAUGUGACAAGGUAUGGAGAGAUUUGGGGUUGUCACAGCUUGGGAGAGGAAUGGCACCUGAGGGUCGUGGUCACAAGUAUCAUUAGAUAAGUAUCUCUUGAAGCACUGCAGGAUCUGAGCCAAACCAGGGGUGGCACUGAAAGUGAGGACCCUGCUUCCAGGCAGCAGUUAUCAUCAAUAUGCACGACAGUCAACAUUCGGAUGCUUCCUUUAUUCAUCUCCCCACCUUGUGUGUGUGUGUGUGUGUGUGUGUGUGUGUGUGUGUGUGUGUGUGUGUGUGAUGCACAUGUGCUCACCUGAGCUUGCACUUGUGGAAGACAGAGGUCAACACCAAGUAUCUUCCUCUAUGAUUCUCCUCUUCUGUCCUUCCUUCCUUCCUGCCUGCCUGCCUAUAUUAUUGUUGUUGUUGUUACUACUACUACUACUACUACUACUACUACUACUACUACUACUACUACUGCCAUUGGUUUUAAAGAGAUAGGGCUUCUUUGUGUUCUGGAACUCACUCUGUAGAUGACCAGGCUGGCCUUGAACAGAGAUCCACCUGUCUCUACCUCCUGAGUACUGAGAUCAAAAGCUUGUACCACCACUGCCCGGCCCUCUCUACCUUAUUUUUUAAAGAUAGGGUCUCUCACUGAACCUGGAACUAUUAUUUCAGUUAAGCUGUCUGGCCUGUGAGCCCCCUCCCCCCUGCCCUGCCCUGCCCUGCCCUGCCCUCACUGGGGUUGUAGGCGCACAGCCCCAUACUUUUACGUGGAUCCUGAGGACCCAAACUUAAGUCCUCAUCUUUUAGCAGCGAGCACUUUCCUCACUGAGCCAUCUUCCCAGCAGCUCCCGACCUGUGUCUGCCCGAGUGACCGCAGCACCCACUCUUUGCAGAUGCUGGGCAUAUAGUGUUUAGCAUACUGUGAUGAGGUCCUCCCUCUCACGGAUGUUAUCAUGCAAAAGCUUGAACCUAAAGGAAGUUUUUCCAGAUCUUUUAAGCCUGCAAAUGUUGAAUACCUAGACUAGGAAAAGCUAUUAUGAUAUAUUUUAUUAUUAGCUUUAUACAUGGAGUCAAGAGUGUUUAUAUUUUGAAGCUUUGGAACACGCAGGGCACAUAUUACCUUUCAGAAGAGAGAUUAUGCUGGCUGGCUGGUUGGUUGCCUCGUGUUCUAUUAACAUUGAAGCCAGGCUUCCCUGUCAGGCUGUUCUGGGUAAAUACAUUCAGAUCUGCAAGCAGUGAGCACAGGCUUUCAGCCCAAAUGGCUCUUUGUGUGUAGAGGAGAAGGGAGAUGCAGACCACUGGAGCAUGUCUCUCACCACCCCUGAGCUUCCCUUGAGCAAUGACCUGGGAGAUCAGCUCACAGCUGUCGAGGAACAUCUGUAACCGAGUCAGGCUGGAAGGAGUUCUACAAUCCUCUACCUGUGUGCGUCUAAGUCUCAUGGGGCCACACUGAAACUGGAUCCCUUCCUGUCUCCUGCUACCUGUCUUUUUAGCUACCUCAGCUUUGCCUAGGAUGAUGACAAAGCUCCUUUAGGACCCACAAGGCCUUGCCAACACACUCUGCCCCCACCCACUCUUGCCACACUGGCUUUCGUGCUGUCCCAAAAGUCACAUUCUGUCACCACAGGACCUUUGCACAAACUCCUCUUGUUUCUGCAGGCUUUCCCUCCUGAUCCUUCAUUUUGUUAACACACCUGCUCACUUCACCAAGGUCUUCCAAGCUACCACUUCCUCACAGACACCUCUCACGCCCCCUUGGCACUACCACACAAGCUCUCGCUUCAUUCUGGUGCAGUCUUACAAUUGCAUGUGUAUUGUCAGCAUGGAGUCUGGCUAGGACACACCACGGUAUCCUAAACCACCACAUUCAGAUACAUCUGCAUAAAGUGGGUGCUGGAGAACCAUCCCUGAACCAUUUGAUUCUUAAAAUCACAUUGCAUUUGCAGGUUUAUCUUGUGGUUCAGGGUGUUUGCGUUUGUGCGUAGGCUCGCACACCACAGCUCCCGAGUGAUGGUCAGAGGAGAACACAGGCAUGAUGAUUCUUUUCUUCCACCAUGUGGGGCCCAAGGCUUGGUGGUAAGGGCCUUACUCGCUGGGCCACUUUCCUGGAUCCUGAACCAUUUAAGCUUUAAACGAAUGAAAAAUAAACAAAUAAAUGUGACCAGCCUGAGAUCUACACUCAGAAGUAGAAUGCUAGGGAGGCCAAGGGUGCACAGGUCCUGACGACCCUAGAGGACCCUGGGAUUUGUUAGUAUAUUUCAAGGUGCAGAAGGGGAAAUCUUGCCUCCAGAGCCUGGAAUUCAGAAGACACCAAUCUACCUCUGUGAGAGAAUCAUUAAGUUAGGAACCAACUCCCACAUGCAGCCCACACGCAGCGGAGGUCCUCUGGCAGCAUGGCUCAAUUGAGUUCUCUGUGUCUCCUCCCAUCCCCGUUCUUCCUAAUCACGGGAUACCCACAGCCUUGCUUUCCAUCUCCCCACAGUGAGGUUAAGCUUCCUUCCUGGGUUGUGUGUUGUACAAUACCCACAAGGCCAGCACUACCAUCCGAGGUAGUUAAAUGUGACUUUGAGAAACAGGUCUGCCUUCCAUAGAAAAGCCUACAGUCACCACGACAAACACGACCGCAACGUUGAAAAAUCCCUAAAUAAAGAGAUGCCAUGUUCUCUGCAUAUUCAUGGCUGAAAUGAAUAGUAUAUAUGAUGCUUGGUUUUGUAAGCAUCCGGAUAAAGCAGAAGGCGAGAAUGCAGAUUCACUUAUUUUUAUCAAUGGAAACAAUUCUACUUGACCAGCAGAAGAAUUGUCUCCUCUGGUUUGAAGAACAAUGUGCCUGCAGAAGGCAGUCCUGCCCGUUAGUCUCUGAGCAAAGCUUUAUUUUUAUAUUAUUGUGUCGUUUUAUGCACAGUCCCCAAGUGCCUUGUCAAUGACAGCCACUCAUUAAAUCAUUUGAACUAUCAUAUAAAAAUAAAGAUGGAUUUUAAGCUACACUGAGCCAGGCAGUUGGUUAGCAAAUACUGAUUGUUCCCUGUGGGGUCAGGAGUGUUCUUUCAGGUGAUGGAGACUCACAGGAAGGAAACACAUGGUCCGUUGCCUCAGGAGGACUUAGGGACGAAUCCAGGCAACAAACAGAUGAGCCUUCGAGCAGAAUAAAACUGUUCAGGAAAAACAACAACAAAAAAAACUUGUCUUUGGGAAGUAGAGUGAAGGUCAGCACAAACCAGGCUUCAGAGGCAAGAGAGACAGUGGCAGAUAUUGUGCCACCAUAGGAAGAUGCCAGCAGCCAUGAAUGUGAAAGAAUUUGCAAGAUUAGAGGAUUAAGAUGUGAAGCCUCAAGAUAAACUUAGAACUCCUACAAAGAUUAUUCUCCUUUCUGGGAAAAACUAUAAAUUUUCAACAAGGACAUAAAUGUGAGUGACCUGCAGAAAAGAAUAAAGCAAACUCCUGAAAAUGCGGAGCAGGAGCCCUCCAGGUAAGGACACGGGGCCAACUGAACCACCUUGAAAACUGCUAGCCUCAACUGUUCUGUUACAAUAUGGAACGGCCUCCGCACACUCCCACAUUUGCAAUAUGGAACGGCCUCUGUGCUCUGACACUGAGUGGGUUUUUUUUUUUUUUUUUUUGGUGGUUUUUUUUUUUUGGAGGCUCUAGAAACUUUAGGAGGUGGAGUCUAGUUGGAGGAUGUAGGUCACUGGGGGUGGGGGUGGAGGUGGGGUACGUUAUCCUUUCUCUCCUUUCUCUGCUCUCUGGCUACCAUUACCACUGCCACGUUCUUCCAAAGUGAACAGGGUGCAGGGGCAACAGACUGAACUCUGAAACAGUGAGCCAUAGGCAAUUUUUCCCCUCUUUCAGACAUUCUGUCAGGUAUUUUAGUCAUAGUUACACAAACUCAGCUAAAAUGUCCAAAAUAUAUUCAUCACUUGGCAAUCCACUUAUAUACUAGUGUCUUAUAUGUAUACUCUUUACAUACAGUGUCUUGCAUGUAUAAAACCCGAAUUCAUGCUCAUGUCCAAGGAAGAAUCCCAAGAACAUUCGUGACCAUAGCAUACAACCUAAGCCACUGUAUACUACCCAGAGGUCCACCAGCAAUGGUAUGUACGAAUAAACGUGGAUGUACUCAUGCAAUGCAAUGCUGUAUAGAGUUGGAACUCAGUGUCCUGUGACUACAGAUAGCAUCACAGAUGAAUCUCAAACAAUAAAUGAAACUGCAUGCAAAGGAAUUCAUGGUGCUUUAUUCUACUUAGGUUUUUAGGCCUGGCUGCCCUGGAAUUCACUCUGUAGAUGACCAGGCUGGCCUCAGACUCAGAGAUUCACCUGCCUCUGCCUCCUGAGUGCUGGGAUUAAAGACCACCACCACCAUCUAGCUUUUUUUUUUAAUAACAAAGCCAAAAAAUAUUAUCCCCAGACACAACUUUAUCUGGGGAGAAGAUAGUGAGGCUCAGGCUAAUGGGGGUGUGUCUUGGACAUUUUCUUACCUUGUAUCCAUGUUUUGUGAUCAUUUGUCUGGCUAUGUGCUUACUUCCUGUGUGCUUUUAGAAUGUGUAUUCCAUAAAUCAUAUUUCAACAAUAAAAAAUGUUUGUUUACAGCAUGGAACCCUUAAAAACAAAAACCACUAGUAUUCAAGGAAAUAUUUUGCUUAGGAAUGGAACUACCUUCCAUACCAGCUGCCUUAAACCAGCAGAUGUGUUCAUCUUGUGAGGCCUCAUUCAAAAAGUCAUUGUUGUGUGUGUGUGUGUGUGUGUACACGUACACAUGUGUGCAUGCACAUAUGUGAGUGUAUAGUCAUGUGUAUAUGUGAGAUCAUGUUUGUACUUAUGUGUACAUGUGUGAUAUAUUAUGUGUAUGUGUAUGUGUGUGUGUGUGUGUGUGUGUGUGUGUGUGUGUGUGCAUGACACACACAUGUAUCUCAUAUGUGUGUAAGAGGCAGGUAGGAAUAUAUCAAGUCUCUUUCCCAGCCUGGAGGUGGAGGAUGUGGGGUCCAUCAGGGACACUAUUCCUUGGGGAUUGUGGCAAAUAUAAGCACCAGACAUGUGUUUUCAUAAAGAUGGGGAUGUGGGGGAAACAGAAGGCAGAGAGCAGAGCUGGCUAAGAGGCAGCCCAUGACAUGCACACACUAGCCCACAUAUUUUAGGUAUGGUUGCAUGACUAACAACAUAACCACCUAGCCAUCUUCAGCAUCCCCAGAAAUGACAACAGCCUGGCCAGAUCUGUCUGGUUUGGGUACUCACUCUCUCUUUUCUGGACAUGUUCCAUCUACCACUGACUUCACCAACCUGUCAGAAUUGACCACUUCAUUAAGGCAGCAAUAUGAGGGGCUUAGUGCACACCUUUAGUCUUAGCAUUCAGGAGGCAGAGGCAAGCGGGUUUCUGUCAGCCAGAAUUACAUAGCAGGCUACCCAGAGGUCCACAGUGAGUCCUUGUCUCAAAAAAGAAAAAGAAAAAGAAAAAAAAAAGGAUAGGAAAGCUGCUACAAACAUUUCUAGUUCAAUCAAAAAGGCAAAAAUGACCUUGACCUUGGAAAAUGAAAACGCAAUCCUCAGCAAAGUAUCUCAUUAAAUCACAAAUACCUUGGAUCUUGUUUAUUAGUCUCCAUUGCAAAUACCAAGCUCAGCAGUAAAUCAGCCAUAGCAGUAGCCAGGUAUCCAUGUGUCCCAAUAAAACUUUAUUUACAAGAACAAACAGUGGUCCAAAUGUGAUCCAUUAGCUUUAGUUUGCAGAGCCCUGCUCUGAGGUGCAGCCAUAUUUAGGACUGAGCAAACACUGUUUGGGAAGUGGGUUAAUUUCCUGAGACCUUGAAACAAACGUCAGAGACAACACCAGGUAGCACACUUGAUGUGCAUCCCACUGAGUGGCUCUUCUCUGCUCUCAGAGGCCUUCGGAAGCACCCUUCACCUGAGAACUUCCUGGGCUUGCAUUCACAUUGAGCCCCGCCUCUUUCCCAGCCUGCCCCCCUUGCCUCUGUAGCACACACCACGCUGGCCUGGCCCCAGCACUCUGUGUCUGCUGUGGGUGCAGGGCCAUGCCUCUGACCUCUUCCCUACACUGCUGCCCCUCCCCCAGGAAUCCCUCUUUCCUGCUACCAGAUGGGCUUUGUCUUUCAAGAGAUCCUUCAAGAGUCUCUGCCUAAAAAA